rnacentral:rRNA from 1 species
GGCUCAGAUUGAACGCUGGCGGAAUGCUUUACACAUGCAAGUCGAGCGGCAGCGCGGGGCAACCUGGCGGCGAGCGGCGAACGGGUGAGUAAUGCAUCGGAACGUACCCCGUCGUGGGGGAUAACUACCCGAAAGGGUAGCUAAUACCGCAUACGACCUGAGGGUGAAAGCGGGGGACCGAAAGGCCUCGCGCGAUGGGAGCGGCCGAUGCCGGAUUAGCUAGUUGGUAAGGUAAAGGCCUACCAAGGCGACGAUCCGUAGCUGGUCUGAGAGGAUGAUCAGCCACACUGGAACUGAGACACGGUCCAGACUCCUACGGGAGGCAGCAGUGGGGAAUAUUGCGCAAUGGGCGAAAGCCUGACGCAGCCACGCCGCGUGAGCGAUGAAGGCCUUCGGGUCGUAAAGCUCUGUGGGGAGAGAAGAAUAAAGCCUGUGAAGAGCAGGCCUUGACGGUAUCUCCUUAGCAAGCACCGGCUAACUCCGUG